GUUCCUGUAGUUAAGAUUUAUUAACGGUGGCUUUUCAGGCCACAGACCUUGGAAAAAAGCCAAGUAGGAACU
rnacentral:tRNA from 1 species